rnacentral:lncRNA from 1 species
UCUGGCGCCUGCAUUCAAUGAACGUUUGUAAUGUUAGCAGGUGUGGACCUUGAGGAGAUUUUCUCUCCCUGGCUGCCCAAUUAUCAUUUUUAGAGAGGCAAUGCGAUAAUUGCUGAACGAUGUCACCUGACAUUCCUAGCGGGUGGGAGAGAGCCCUCUCCUGCCCCGCUCAUUGCCUAACUACCUGUAACAGGUGUGUGGGUGAGUGCUCCCUGUGAUGGAACGGUGUCCUGUUCAGGACUGGGUGCCACCUGGCACCUUGAGCUGCCAGGACCGGCUCGGGCUGCUCGCGAUCCCAAACUAGAACAAAUGGAAAUGUUCAGUUGUCUAGCUCACAGGGAUAUCCACAAGCCAGACCCAGAAAGCCUUUGCUACCAUUGAUGAAGAUGCCAAGUCCACAGCCCAACAGCCAGAAGACCCUUGGUCUAGUCCGCAGCUUGGGCUACCUUCCAGCAUAAAGUCACUAAAGAUGUGCCGGGCAUGAUGAAGGAAGAAAGCGACUACAUGCUGAAGGAGAUGGUGCGGGGACUCGCUAGUACCUAUUGGCAGGACCUGGGGAACUUUGGUGGGUGCUUGAUAAUGGGGACUGGAAUAAAAACUGGCUAAGCAAAAA